GCCUUCUUGGUGUAAUGGUCAGCGAACUCGAAGCGCAUUCGAGAGGUCCGUGGUUCGAAUCCCGGCGAGGGCA
rnacentral:tRNA from 1 species